rnacentral:rRNA from 1 species
UUUCGCAAUGCCCGAAAGGGUGACGAAGCGACGCCGCGUGUGGGAAGAAGGCCUUCGGGUUGUAAACCACUGUCGGGAGUUAAGAAAUGUAAGGGUGUUAAUAGUAUCCUUACUUGACUAAGGCUCCGGAGGAAGCCACGGCUAACUCUGUGCCAGCAGCCGCGGUAAUACAGAGGCGGCAAGCGUUGUUCGGAAUUAUUGGGCGUAAAGAGCACGUAGGCGGUCUUGUAAGUCGGUUGUGAAAUCCUUCCGCUCAACGGAAGAACAGCAUCUGAUACUGCAAGGCUAGAGUGCGGAAGGGGAGAGUGGAACUUCUGGUGGAGCGGUGAAAUGCGUAGAUAUCAGAAGGAACACCGGCGGCGAAGGCGACUCUCUGGUCCGUAACUGACGCUGAGUGUGCGAAAGCUAGGGGAGCAAACGGGAUUAGAUACCCCGGUAGUCCUAGCCGUAAACGAUGGGCACUAAGUAGAGGGGUUUUA